GCUUUACAAGUUUAAAGAUCUUAUAUAUUUUUCUAUAUCAAUAAUUUCUUGAUUAUUUGUUUGGUUGGGGCGACGAUAGUAUAAUAAUAGUAACUGCUUUAAAGUGUUUCAAAUGUAUUUGAAUCGAAAUAAUAACUGNAUCCUUAAAUAAAGAUUUAAAGAUCAAGUU
rnacentral:rRNA from 1 species